rnacentral:rRNA from 1 species
AUUGAACGCUGGCGGCAGGCCUAACACAUGCAAGUCGAGCGAGCGGCGGACGGGUGAGUAAUGUCUGGGAAACUGCCUGAUGGAGGGGGAUAACUACUGGAAACGGUAGCUAAUACCGCAUACCAUCAGAUGUGCCCAGCUGGGAUUAGCUAGUAGGGGGGGUAACGGCUCACCUAGGCGACGAUCCAUAGCUGGUCUGAGAGGAUGACCAGCCACAAGGGAACUGAGAAACGGUCGAGACGCCUACGGGAGGCAGCAGUGGGGAAUAUUGACCAAUGGGCGAAAGCCUGAUGCAGCCAUGCCGCGUGUGUGAAGAAGGCAUGCGGGUUGUAAAGCACUUUCAGCGGGGAGGCGUUACCCGCAGAAGAAGCACCGGCUAACUCCGUGCCAGCAGCCGCGGUAAUAC